rnacentral:rRNA from 1 species
AGAUUGAUCAUGGCUAGGGAUGAACGCUAGCUACAGGCUUAACACAUGCAAGUCGAGGGGCAGCAUAACGAAAGCUUGCUUUUGUUGAUGGCGACCGGCGCACGGGUGAGUAACGCGUAUCCAACCUUCCCUAUAGUAGAGAAUAGCCCGGCGAAGGUCGGAUUAAUGCUCUAUGUUGUAUUUAGAAGACAUCUGAAGAAUACCAAAGGUUUACCGCUAUAGGAUGGGGAUGCGUCUGAUUAGGUAGUAGGCGGGGUAACGGCCCACCUAGCCAACGAUCAGUAGGGGUUCUGAUAGGAAGGUCCCCCACAUUGGAACUGAGACACGGUCCAAACUCCUACGGGAGGCAGCAGUGAGGAAUAUUGGUCAAUGGACGGAAGUCUGAACCAGCCGAGUAUCGUGCAGGAUGACGGCCCUAUGGGUUGUGAACUGCUUUUAUAUAGGGAUAAAGUCGGGGACGUGUCCCCGUUUGUACGUACUA